rnacentral:lncRNA from 1 species
AGAAAAGCACCUGACAAACAUACAUGUGUAAUUUUAUUAUAAAGGAAGAUAUAAAAAUGGGGGUAAAUGAACUCAUUUUAUUACCUUGAGCAUUAAACUUCAUCUGUAUAUGGCAGGUGUCUUUUCGUACUAGUGACUGUCAUCUGCUAAACACAGGCUUUGGAAUGUUGUUCUGGUUUGUGUAUUUCUGCAAAGUUCUGGAAUGUGGCUCUGGUAGGCUUCCUGAUGUAAAAGACCCGGAUCCUGUCUCUGACAGGGGUGUUUAAUAAGCAUUCGCCAAACUGCCAAAUGAGCAUCUUAGUUCUCAGUGGAGAUUAAAGGUUAAGCAGGUGUUUUUCCAGGCUCUACGUAUAAUUUAAAUUUCAAUCGUUAUUUUACACAGAUUAAUCUAGAAGUUGUUAGAAGCAAACAUGGAGCCAUGCAUAUUUCCAUCAUAAACAGGAAAAAUAAAAUAUCUACAGACUUCGAGGGGCCUUCGGGGUCUUGGCACCCUGCCAGUUGCAUCUCCCCUGUGGAGGCAUUUGGCUUAUGAUCUUGCAGGGGCUGUUUGUUUCCAAGUCCUGCUCUACCUGUUUCUCGGUGUCUUAGUUCUUGCUUUUAGUAGAGAAUAUAUUUUAUUCUUUCCUCUUCAAAGAUUUUGUAUGUGUGGCUAUGAAUGAGCAAUUCAUGUUCAUUGUAAAAACAUGCCAAGUGCAGAAUGGUAUAAAGAAGCCGCAACAACAACAAAAAAAACCCUCAUAAAUCUUAGUACCUAUUGGCAACCCCUAUUCAUAUUUUGCCUGAUUUCUUUCCAUUAGGUUUUCUUUGUAUUUUUGACAUCAUUGAACCACACUCUUUUUUUUUUGAGAUGGAGUCUCACUCUGUCGCCCAGCUGGAGUGCAGUGUGGCACGACCUCAGCUCACUGCAACCUCCACCUCCCGGGUUCACGUGAUUCUCCUGCCUCGGCCUCCCAAAGUGCUGGGAUUACAGGUGUGAGCCACCAUGCCUGGCCACACUGUAUUUUUCUUUUUUUUUUUAGAGACGGAGUUUUGCUUUUUUUGCCUAGGCUGGAGUGCAAUGGCAUGAUCUCGGCACAACUGUAACCUCCACCUCCCGGGUUCAGGUGAUUCUUCUGCUUAAGCCUCCCGAGUAGCUGGGAUUACAGGCACACACCACCACACCCAGCUCAUUUUGUAUUUUUAGUAGAGAUGGAGUUUCACUGUGUUGGCCAGGCUGGUCUCAAACUGCUGACCUCAGGUGAUCUGCCUGCCUUGGCCUCCCAAAGUGCUGAGAUUACAGGCAUAAGCCACCACACCCGGCCACACACCAUAUUUGUCAAUACUGCAUCUUGUUUUCUUCAUUUGAUAUUCUUUCUUUUGCAGUCUCACUGUCAUUCAAGCAAAAUGCUCUGUAAACACACUUUUAAAUGACUGCCAUUCUCUCUUGCAGAUUAAUGGAUAAUUUUUCAAAGGUAGAAUUAUGAUUCUCAUACUAAUAUAAAAUCAACAUGUCAAAGAUUUUACUUAAAUGAUUAACUAAUGAGGAAAGGAGUAAGAUACAACUGGUUCAAAAGGAAGAAUUUAAAGAGCCACAGAUAUAUAGGACUCUGCAGAGACCCCAGAAAGCUCUCACCAGACACAGCUCCUCAACCUUGGACUUCUUAGCCUCCACAACUGCAAGAAAUACAUUUCUUUGCUUUGUAAAUUACCCAGUUUCAGGUAUUCUAUUAUAAGCAACAGAAAAUGUACUAAGAUACCCUGCUUUGACUCCCUAGGCACGUUCUCGUUGGCUGGCACCAUCUGUGACAAAUCCUGAACUGUAUUGUUUACAGACACAGCUGCAGCCUGCAUUGGCACCAAAGUCAAUUACUGAUGUUGUGCUCUUUGCAGCCCUGGCCCUUGCUAAUUCUUCUUGGAAGGAAGAGAUGUGAAGACAGGUUGCAAAUGUAGGAGUGGUAAGAAUAACCAAUAGUUCAUGUCUCCUCUAUCUUAUUAACCCUCUCCCCAUCUUUAGACUCCUCCAGAUACUACUCUCUCUCCAUCCAUAUCAUCCAUACCUGUGGCUUCAACUAAAGGGUUGGCUCUUGAACCCACAUUUCCAUUCUAUAUCUCACUCCUGAGCCCAAAUUUACAUUUGAGUGUUUAAUGUUUACCUAAAGCUGUAAGUCAGCCUGAUACUCCACAGACUGUACAUCUCCUAAAUAAUACAUGUGAACUGGUACUUUUUGAGACUGUCUCACUCAGUCGCCCAGGCUAGAGUGCAAUGGCAUGAUCAUAGCUUACUGUAGCCUCAAACCCGUAGGCUCAAGGGACCCUCUUACCUCAGCCUCCUGAGUAGCUGAGACUACAGGCACACAGCACUAUGCCAGGCUAAUUUUUUAAUUUUUU